CUGCACAACAUCUGUGCACAGUCAUUGUUGGUUUGAUGUGUUACUAUGACACAGCAAACGCUCAGUGACGUGUUUACUAGUGUUUGGUACAAAUACUGAUACUCACAUAAUGGUGGAAUAUACAAACGCUUCAGGGAACUAUGAGCUCCUCACCAAGGACAGUGAGAGCCUUCAUAGGAGAUCAUUUCUAAAACUAGUUCAUGAAGCGGCUCUAACCAGGUUUCAGCAGCACUAGUUUAUUUAUUAACAACACUCUAACCAGGUUUCAGCAGUACUAGUUUAUUUACUAACAACGCUCUAACCAGGUUUCAGCAGUACUAGUUAAUUUAUGAACAAAGCUCUAACCAGGUUACAGCAGCACUAGUUUAUUUAUUAACAAAGCUCUAACCAGGUUACAGCAGCACUAGUUAAUUUAUUAAAAAGCUCUAGCCAGGUUUCAGCAGUACUAGUUUAUUUAUUAACAAAGCUCUAACCAGGUUUCAGCAGCACUAGUUAAUUUAUUAACAAAGCUCUAACCAGGUUACAGCAGCACUAGUUAAUUUUUAAAAAGCUCUAACCAGGUUUCAGCAGCACUAGUUAAUUUAUUAAAAAGCUCUAACUAGGUAACAGCAGCACUAGUUUAUUUAAUAAUGAAGCU